UACGGGGGGGGCAAGCGUUGUUCGGAAUUACUGGGCGUAAAGCGCUUUAAGGCGGUUCGCUAAGUCGGGUGUGAAACCUCCAGGCUCAACCUGGAGACGCCACUCGAUACUGGCGUGACUAGAGUUCGGUAGGGGACCACGGGAAUUCCUGGUGUAGGCGGUGAAAUGACGCAGAUAUCAGGAGGAACACCAGUGGCGAAGGCGGUGGUCUGGGCCGAUACUGACGCUGUAGAGCGAAAGCGUGGGGAGCGAACAGG
rnacentral:rRNA from 1 species